CUCGCCCUGUCUCCCGCUAG
rnacentral:miRNA from 1 species